rnacentral:rRNA from 1 species
AGUGCAUGUGGUGGAUGCCUUGGCAGUCAGAGGCGAUGAAAGACGUAAUAGCCUGCGAUAAGCUCCGGGGAGGCGGCAAAUAUCCUGUGAUCCGGAGAUUUCUGAAUGGGGAAACCCACUUACCAUAAGGUAGGUAUCAUAACAUGAAUACAUAGUGUUACGAGGCGAACGAGGGGAAGUGAAACAUCUCAGUACCCUUAGGAAAAGAAAUCAAUUGAGAUUCCCUCAGUAGCGGCGAGCGAACGGGGAAAAGCCCAUUAAGUCAUAUAAGCUUUAGUGGAAUGCUCUGGGAAGUGCAACCAUAGUAGGUGAUAGUCCUGUACACGAAAGGGCUUAUAUGAUGAUGUCGAGUAGGGCGAGGCACGUGAAACCUUGUCUGAAUAUGGGGGGACCAUCCUCCAAGGCUAAAUACUCCUGACUGACCGAUAGUGAACCAGUACCGUGAGGGAAAGGCGAAAAGAACCCCUGUGAGGGGAGUGAAAUAGAUCCUGAAACCGCAUGCAUACAAGCAGUGGGAGCCGACUUGUUCGGUGACUGCGUACCUUUUGUAUAAUGGGUCAGCGACUUAUAUUCAGUAGCGAGGUUAACCGAAUAGGGGAGCCGUAGAGAAAUCGAGUCUUAAUAGGGCGUUUAGUUGCUGGGUGUAGACCCGAAACCGGGUGAUCUAUCCAUGAGCAGGUUGAAGGUUGGGUAACACUAACUGGAGGACCGAACCCACUGUCGUUGAAAAGCCAGGGGAUGACUUGUGGAUAGGGGUGAAAGGCUAAUCAAACUCGGUGAUAGCUGGUUCUCCCCGAAAGCUAUUUAGGUAGCGCCUCGGACGAAUACCAUUGGGGGUAGAGCACUGUUUCGGCUAGGGGGUCAUCCCGACUUACCAAACCGAUGCAAACUCCGAAUACCAAUGAGUACUAUCCGGGAGACAGACUGCGGGUGCUAACGUCCGUAGUCAAGAGGAAAACAAUCCAGACCGCCAGCUAAGGCCCCAAAAUUAUAGUUAAGUGGGAAACGAUGUGGGAAGGCAUAGACAGCUAGGAGGUUGGCUUAGAAGCAGCCACCCUUUAAAGAAAGCGUAAUAGCUCACUAGUCGAGUCGGCCUGCGCGGAAGAUGUAACGGGGCUAAAACUAGCAACCGAAGCUGCGGCUGCAUACUUUGUAUGUGGGGUAGGGGAGCGUUCUGUAAGCCGUCGAAGGUGUGUUGAGAAGCAUGCUGGAGGUAUCAGAAGUGCGAAUGCUGACAUGAGUAACGAUAAGGGGAGUGAAAAACUUCCCCGCCGAAAGACCAAGGGUUCCUAUCCCAUGCUAAUCAGGGUAGGGUGAGUCGGCCCCUAAGGCGAGGCAGAAAUGCGUAGUCGAUGGGAAGCAGGUUAAUAUUCCUGCACCUCGCGUAAGUGCGAUGGAGGGACGGAGAAGGUUAGGUGUACCGGGCGUUGGUUGUCCCGGGGAAAGGCGGUAGGUUUGGAUCUUUGGCAAAUCCGGGAUCCUUUAAGACCGAGCACCGAGACGAGUCUUUAAGACGAAGUCACUGAUACCACGCUUCCAGGAAAAGCUCCUAAGCUUCAGCUUACGCAGACCGUACCGUAAACCGACACAGGUGGGUAGGAUGAGAAUUCUCAGGCGCUUGAGAGAACUCGGGUGAAGGAACUAGGCAACAUGGCACCGUAACUUCGGGAGAAGGUGCACCCCGACCGGUGGCCCAUGCGGGUAUAAGCUGGUGGUGGUCGAAGUGACCAGGCCGCUGCGACUGUUUAUCAAAAACACAGCACUCUGCAAACACGAAAGUGGACGUAUAGGGUGUGACGCCUGCCCGGUGCUGGAAGGUUAAUUGAUGGGGUCAGCCGCAAGGCGAAGCUCUUGAUCGAAGCCCCAGUAAACGGCGGCCGUAACUAUAACGGUCCUAAGGUAGCGAAAUUCCUUGUCGGGUAAGUUCCGACCUGCACGAAUGGCAUAAUGAUGGGGGCGCUGUCUCCAGCAGAGACUCAGUGAAAUCGAAUUCGCCGUGAAGAUGCGGUGUACCCGCGGCUAGACGGAAAGACCCCGUGAACCUUUACUGCAGCUUGACAUUGAACUUUGAUCUUACUUGUGUAGGAUAGGUGGGAGGCUUUGAAACCGAGACGCUAGUUUCGGUGGAGCCAAUCUUGAAAUACCACCCUGGUAAUAUUGAGGUUCUAACUCUGCUCCAUAAUCUGGAGCGAGGACCAUGUCUGGUGGGUAGUUUGACUGGGGCGGUCUCCUCCUAAAGAGUAACGGAGGAGUACGAAGGUGCGCUCAGACCGGUCGGAAAUCGGUCGUAGAGUAUAAAGGCAAAAGCGCGCUUGACUGCGAGACAGACACGUCGAGCAGGUACGAAAGUAGGUCUUAGUGAUCCGGUGGUUCUGUAUGGAAGGGCCAUCGCUCAACGGAUAAAAGGUACUCUGGGGAUAACAGGCUGAUACCGCCCAAGAGUUCAUAUCGACGGCGGUGUUUGGCACCUCGAUGUCGGCUCAUCUCAUCCUGGGGCUGAAGCAGGUCCCAAGGGUAUGGCUGUUCGCCAUUUAAAGAGGUACGCGAGCUGGGUUUAGAACGUCGUGAGACAGUUCGGUCCCUAUCUACCGUGGGCGCUGGAAAUUUGAGAGGAUCUGCUCCUAGUACGAGAGGACCAGAGUGGACGAACCUCUGGUGUACCGGUUGUGACGCCAGUCGCAUCGCCGGGUAGCUAUGUUCGGAAGGGAUAACCGCUGAAAGCAUCUAAGCGGGAAGCCUACCUCAAGAUAAGAUUUCCCUAGGAAUUUAUUCCUCUAAAGAGCCGUUGA